rnacentral:rRNA from 1 species
UACAGAGGUGGCAAGCGUUGUUCGGAAUUACUGGGCGUAAAGGGCGCGUAGGCGGCCAUCUAAGUCAGACGUGAAAUCCCCCGGCUUAACCUGGGAACUGCGUCUGAUACUGGAAGGCUUGAGUAUGGGAGAGGGAUGUAGAAUUCCAGGUGUAGCGGUGAAAUGCGUAGAUAUCGUCAAGAACACCUAUAGCGAAGGCAGCUUACUAGGCUGUAACUGACGCUGAGGCACGAAAGUGUGGGGAUCAAACAGG